rnacentral:misc_RNA from 1 species
UCUCCGUUGGUGAACCAGCGGAGGGAUCAUUACAGAGAUUUAUCUCGCCCAACCCUUUGUGAACUUACCAGUUGCCUCGGCGGCUUGGGGGUUUCGUACCCCCGCGGCCGCCGCAGGACACCAAACUCUUGUUUAACCCGGAUUCUGAAAUAAAAAGCAAAUAGUUAAAACUUUCAACAACGGAUCUCUUGGUUCUGGCAUCGAUGAAGAACGCAGC